UGGGGGUCUUAGGGCUGGCUCGACGGCGGCAGGGACCUCUCAAUGGCGGCGGUGGUCUCGGCAGGAGCUAGUUGCAGGGAUGAUUUUAGAAAGAAAUUCAUGGCAGUCAAUCCUUACUUUGGAAAGACUAUUGGUGACGAGGGUGAGUACAAGGACAAGAAGAAGAAAGAUAUGUAUUUUGACAAUGAAUUUAUUGUUUUAUUUUAUUUGUGAUUUUUAUUAGAGUAUAAGUUUUCUUUUUUGAGUGGUUAAUUAUUUACUUUGUAAAUCUAGUUAUAUUUUUUUUAUUAGACUUGUAAAAUGAAUGUAUAAUUUAUUUUAUUUUAA